CAAAAUAUCCAGAUGAAUAAAGAAACUCAUCAAUUAUCUGGGCCUUUUGUUUUCCCAACACAAAACACCAGGUAAAGCCCGUCAUCUGGAACGCUAAAUGUUUCUCCCACCUCUUACCUAGCAGUUUAUGCCUGUAGACAGAGCUUUAGACAGCAGAUGGAAGGAAACGCCAGGCUGGAAGGAUCAUGCUGGUUCUCUUGAAUUCCGGGCAUUGUCCCAAGAUUGGAAUGAAUUGUUCUCAGAACUGUGGGGAGAGCAUAUCUGAAAUCACUCCUUUAGAAGCUGCUGGAGGCUUGGGACCAUGGAACGCUUAUUUAGGCCAAUAGCAUGAUGCAGCAGAAAAAGCGUGAGCUUCGAUGCCAAAGAGAAGAGGAACAGAAUCUCGGAUCUGCCCACUUUGUGUCCUGGAGCACAGACUACAAACUUCAUCAAGGCGGUUGUACCCAUUUUGGAGUGCAUUCAGCUACAAGUAACAGAAACUUGACAGUGGCUUCAACAAAUAAGGAUUCACUUUUGUCAUCUAAAAAAGAAGUACAGAGGUAGUGGCUGCUGGUAAUGUUUCAGAACCUCAACAAUGUCACAAUGUCUCUUUGACUCUUUUGGUCUUUACUUCAUGGGUUCAAGAUAGCUGUUGCAGCUCUAGCCAUCAUAUCCAAAUUAAAGCAAGAAGAAAGGAAAAGGGAUGAGGACAGCCAUAUCUGUCUCAUUUUAGUGGGAAAGCAAGCUUUCCAUUCUUGAGCUUGGCCGUAACUGGGUUGCUUACAACUCCAAGCGGCAAGGGAGGCUGGGAGAUGAGAUUCUGCAGGCUAAAUUGGG
rnacentral:lncRNA from 1 species